rnacentral:rRNA from 1 species
AACGAACGCUGGCGGCAUGCCUAACACAUGCAAGUCGAACGAGACCUUCGGGUCUAGUGGCGCACGGGUGCGUAACGCGUGGGAAUCUACCCUUGGGUUCGGAAUAACAGUUAGAAAUGACUGCUAAUACCGGAUGAUGACGUAAGUCCAAAGAUUUAUCGCCCAAGGAUGAGCCCGCGUAAGAUUAGCUUGUUGGUGGGGUAAUGGCCUACCAAGGCGACGAUCUUUAGCUGGUCUGAGAGGAUGAUCAGCCACACUGGGACUGAGACACGGGCCAGACUCCGACGGGAGGCAGCAGUGGGGAAUAUUGGACAAUGGGCGAAAGCCUGAUCCAGCAAUGCCGCGUGAGUGAUGAAGGCCUUAGGGUUGUAAAGCUCUUUUACCAGGGAUGAUAAUGACAGUACCUGGAGAAUAAGCUCCGGCUAACUCCGUGCCAGCCGCCGCGGUAA